rnacentral:misc_RNA from 1 species
UCCGAGUUGACCCCGGCGGUCUCCCGUGAGUCCCCAACCCUCCGAAGAGGUUGCUGGCAACACGGGACAAGGGUUGCGCUCGUUGCGGGACUUAACCCAACAUCUCACGACACGAGCUGACGACAACCAUGCACCACCUGUACACCGCCCUUGCGGACCCCGUAUCUCUACGAGUUUUCGGUGUAUGUCAAGCCUUGGUAAGGUUCUUCGCGUUGCGUCGAAUUAAGCCACAUGCUCCGCCGCUUGUGCGGGUCCCCGUCAAUUCCUUUGGGUUUUAGCCUUGCGGCCGUACUCCCCAGGCGGAGUGCUUAAUGCGUUAGCUGCGCCACCGAAAGCCUAAGGCCCCCGACAGCUAGUUAUCAUCGUUUACGGCGUGGACUAC